rnacentral:rRNA from 1 species
ACGAACGCUGGCGGCGUGCCUAAUACAUGCAAGUCGCGCGAAGUUUUUCUGGUGCUUGCACCGGAAAAACUUAGCGGCGAACGGGUGAGUAACACGUAAAGAACCUGCCUCAUAGACUGGGACAACUAUUGGAAACGAUAGCUAAUACCGGAUAAUAGCAUUAACUGCAUGGUUGAUGUUUAAAAGUUGGUUUUGCUAACACUAUGAGAUGGCUUUGCGGUGCAUUAGCUAGUUGGUGGGGUAAAGGCCUACCAAGGCGACGAUGCAUAGCCGACCUGAGAGGGUGAUCGGCCACACUGGGACUGAGACACGGCCCAGACUCCUACGGGAGGCAGCAGUAGGGAAUCUUCCGCAAUGGGCGAAAGCCUGACGGAGCAACGCCGCGUGAGUGAAGAAGGAUUUCGGUUCGUAAAGCUCUGUUGUUAGGGAAGAAUGAUUGUGUAGUAACUAUACACAGUAGAGACGGUACCUAACCAGAAAGCCACGGCUAACUACGUG